AUGAACGCUAGCUACAGGCUUAACACAUGCAAGUCGAGGGGCAGCAUGGUCUUAGCUUGCUAAGACUGAUGGCGACCGGCGCACGGGUGAGUAACACGUAUCCAACCUGCCGUCUACUCUUGGACAGCCUUCUGAAAGGAAGAUUAAUACAAGAUGGCAUCAUGAGUCCGCAUGUUCACAUGAUUAAAGGUAUUCCGGUAGACGAUGGGGAUGCGUUCCAUUAGAUAGUAGGCGGGGUAACGGCCCACCUAGUCUUCGAUGGAUAGGGGUUCUGAGAGGAAGGUCCCCCACAUUGGAACUGAGACACGGUCCAAACUCCUACGGGAGGCAGCAGUGAGGAAUAUUGGUCAAUGGGCGAGAGCCUGAACCAGCCAAGUAGCGUGAAGGAUGACUGCCCUAUGGGUUGUAAACUUCUUUUAUAAAGGAAUAAAGUCGGGUAUGGAUACCCGUUUGCAUGUACUUUAUGAAUAAGGAUCGGCUAACUCCGUGCCAGCAGCCGCGGUAAUACGGAGGAUCCGAGCGUUAUCCGGAUUUAUUGGGUUUAAAGGGAGCGUAGAUGGAUGUUUAAGUCAGUUGUGAAAGUUUGCGGCUCAACCGUAAAAUUGCAGUUGAUACUGGAUAUCUUGAGUGCAGUUGAGGCAGGCGGAAUUCGUUGUGUAGCGGUGAAAUGCUUAGAUAUCACGAAGAACUCCGAUUGCGAAGGCAGCCUGCUAAGCUGCAACUGACAUUGAGGCUCGAAAGUGUGGGUAUCAAACAGGAUUAGAUACCCUGGUAGUCCACACGGUAAACGAUGAAUACUCGCUGUUUGCGAUAUACAGCAAGCGGCCAAGCGAAAGCGUUAAGUAUUCCACCUGGGGAGUACGCCGGCAACGGUGAAACUCAAAGGAAUUGACGGGGGCCCGCACAAGCGGAGGAACAUGUGGUUUAAUUCGAUGAUACGCGAGGAACCUUACCCGGGCUUAAAUUGCAGAUGAAUUACGGUGAAAGCCGUAAGCCGCAAGGCAUCUGUGAAGGUGCUGCAUGGUUGUCGUCAGCUCGUGCCGUGAGGUGUCGGCUUAAGUGCCAUAACGAGCGCAACCCUUGUUGUCAGUUACUAACAGGUUCCGCUGAGGACUCUGACAAGACUGCCAUCGUAAGAUGUGAGGAAGGUGGGGAUGACGUCAAAUCAGCACGGCCCUUACGUCCGGGGCUACACACGUGUUACAAUGGGGGGUACAGAGGGCCGCUACCACGCGAGUGGAUGCCAAUCCCAAAAACCUCUCUCAGUUCGGACUGGAGUCUGCAACCCGACUCCACGAAGCUGGAUUCGCUAGUAAUCGCGCAUCAGCCACGGCGCGGUGAAUACGUUCCCGGGCCUUGUACACACCGCCCGUCAAGCCAUGGGAGCCGGGGGUACCUGAAGUGCGUAACCGCGAGGAGCGCCCUAGGGUAAAACUGGUGACUGGGGCU
rnacentral:rRNA from 1 species